rnacentral:misc_RNA from 1 species
UUUCCGUAGGUGAACCUGCGGAAGGAUCAUUAAUGAGUUGUCAUGGGGUUCGAUGCUGGCAGCCAAUUUUUGGAUGCAUGUGCUUGCCCUAACAAUCAUCUUCCAAACACCUGUGCACAUUUUUGAGGGAGUCUUGAGUUGGUUGCCGCUCUUGGGUGAUUUUCUCACAUUCCCUUAAAUCAUUAUACGCUAUUAACAAAGUUGAACGUGCUCUGUGCCGCAAGGCUAUUAAUAUAAUACAACUUUUAACAACGGAUCUCUUGGCUCUC